rnacentral:rRNA from 1 species
AUUCCGGUGACAGAGCCUGACAAACGGCUUCCACAUCCAAGGAAGGCAGCAGGCACGCAAAUUACACACUCCGACUCAGGGAGGUAGUGAUGAAAAAUAAAAUACAGGACUCAUUUCGAGGCCUGUAAUUGGAGUGAGUACACUUUAAAUCCUUUAACGAGGAUCCAUUGGAGGGCAAGUCUGGUGCCAGCAGCAAAGGUCUUUCCAGCUCCAAUAGCGUAUAUAAAGUUGCUGCAGUUAAAAAGCUUGCAGUUGGAUCUUAGGAUCGAGCUGGCGGUCUGCUGCAAGGCAAGCUACCGCCUGUCCCAGUCUUGCCUCUCAGUGUCCCCUUAAUGCUCUUGACUGAGUGUCCUGGAAGUCCGAAGUGUUUACUUUGAAAAAAUGUGUGUUCAAAGCAGGCCUACUUGAACACUACUGAAUAAUUCAGCUAGGAAUCAUGGAAUAGGACUUCGAUUCUAUUUUGUUGGUUUUCGGAACUGGAGCCAUGAUUAGAGGGACGGCUGGGGGCAUUCGUAUUGUGCCGCUAAAGGUGAAAUUCUUGGACCGGCGCAAGACGAACCAAAGCGAAAGCAUUUGCCAAGAAUGUUUUCAUUAAUCAAGAACGAAAGUCGGAGGUUCGAAGACGAUCAGAUACUGUUGCAUUUCCAUUCAUAAACGAUGCCGACUAGCGAUCCGGCGGCGUUAUUCCCAUGACCCGCCGAGCAGCUUCCGGGAAACCAAAGUCUUUGGGUUCCAGGGGGAGCAUGGUUGCAAAGCUGAAACUUAAAGGAAUUGAUGGUAGGGCACCCGAGGAGUGGAGCCUGUGGCUUAAUUUGACUCAACACAGGAAACCUCACCCGGCCCAGACACGAAACGGAUGGAUAGAUUGAUAGCUCUUUUUUGAUUCUGUGGGUGGUGGUGCAUGGUCGUUCUGAGUUGGUGGAGCGAUUUGUCUGGUUAAUUCCGAUAACUAACGAGACUCCUCCAUACUAACUAGUUACACGACCGCCAGCGGGCGGCGUUCAACUUCUUAGAGGGACAAGUAGCGUUCAGACACACGAGAUUGAGCAAUAACAGGUCUCUGAUGCCCUUAGAGCUCUGGGGCUGCAUGCACGCUACACUGAAUGGAUCAGCAUGUGUCUACCCUUCGCUAACAGGUGCGGGUAACCCGCUGAACCCUGUUUAUGAUAGGGAUUAGAGAUUGCAAAUAUUUCCCAUGAACAAGGAAUUCCCAGUGCGUACGGGUCAUAAGCUUGCAUUAAGUCCCUGCCCUUUGUACACACCGCCUGUUGGAUCGGCCCCGCCGGGGUCAGCAAUGCCCUACUGGAGCACAGAGAAGAUGAUCAAACUAGAGAAAGUAAAAGUCGUAACAAGGUUUCCAUAGGAGAACCGGCAGAAG